rnacentral:lncRNA from 1 species
CAGGAAACCGCCUCAACGGCUUCUUGCCGCUAAGCUAUUUCAUUUCUGCACUGGUUACAAGAGCAAAAAUGGGUGUUUGAAGAACUUACUCCCAUGAUGCGGCAGUCAAGGAGAUGCACAGUAGAGGAUCAAAAAGCUGACAACUUGGCCUCCCCUGGGUCGCUUCCAGGGGAGCGCGGCUUCACCGCUCGAACCAGCUGGCCAAGUUCCGUAUGCUCUUGGGCCGGUCCCCAGCCCUCUGUACAGCCUGGCACACCCGGCACCAAGGCUCGUCCCAGAAGGAGGUGAUGUGGACAGCGUAGCUCCGGCGCCAGUGGAAGUAGCGGCGAUAGACCGCGGGGUUGCGGUCGAGGAAAAGCAGGUACGAGGCCAGGGAGGAGGCACUUGGGAAGUCGUCCACGUGGAUGAAGGCGCCGCGGGGCACAAAGCGCUCGUAGUUGGCACGGUCUGGGCCCAGCACCACCGGCACCGCCCCAGCGAGCAACGCGUUGCGCCAGAGCUUCUCGGUGAUAUAAUCCAGGUGCUGCGAGUUCUCGAAAGCCAGGUAGAACUUGUAGCGGGCCACUGUGUGCAGGAGCCCAAUUUCGGGCACCGGCUGCCCCGUGGCUCACCACCCAUGCCACCAG